rnacentral:rRNA from 1 species
UCUUCCUACGGGACGCAGCAGUGAGGAAUAUUGGUCAAUGGACGGAAGUCUGAACCAGCCAUGCCGCGUGCAGGGAGACGGCUCUAUGAGUUGUAAACUGCUUUUGUACAAGGGUAAACCUGAAUACGUGUAUUCAGCUGAAAGUACUGUACGAAUAAGGAUCGGCUAACUCCGUGCCAGCAGCCGCGGUAAUACGGAGGAUCCAAGCGUUAUCCGGAUUUAUUGGGUUUAAAGGGAGCGUAGGCGGAUUGAUAAGUUAGAGGUGAAAUUUCCGAGCUUAACUCGGGAA